UCUACUUCUUAUGACAUCAUACGUUUUGUCCUACAAAUCUGGCAAACAAGUGAGGAGCUCAGCGCUGUUCUCUGCACACAGUUUCUGAGCACACAGGACUGAAAACAACAAAAGGGAGGAAUGGAGCUGAAAUGUUCUUCUGCUGUGUUCGUCUUUAUCGCAACAGGUACCUCUGAGAGAGCAUUGUUAGGGAAACAGAUUCUUCUGUAUUUUGAAGUCUAUCUGGGAAGAAUGAGAAAAUGAUGUGUAGGUCCAUGUAUUCUGUUUUGUUACGUUUAAUUUCUUUGAGGAAGAACAUGAUUAUUUAGGGUUAUUUACUAAAAUUAAUUUCACAUUUAUGGCCAGAGAAGCAGAACUGAAAGUAUAGCUGAUUUAGAGAAUUUUUCUAGUUCAGCUAUUUUGGACUUUAAUUUUUCAUUUCAUCCUAAAUUCUCACUUUAGUGAAAAACCUUCUUAAUCUUUAAUAAUAUGUGUGGUUUCUAUAUAGUAGGUGAUCAAAUCAUUGUACCCUCUGUUCUAGAACAGUUUGUUAAAUUACACUGGGAGGGUGUAUGAGUCAAUAUUAUUAGGACAUUUAUUCAUGACAAAUUAUGAACUGUUAUUGCUUAAUUUAUAAGUAUAUUGUAGGUCAAUAAUUUAUUUAAUUAUUUUUGGAUCAAUGAGUAUAUAUUGGUAUAUGUGAAUGUUAAGUGGUCAUGCUAAGCACCAUAAAAACGUUUGUAAUGGUUAUGGUGCUAUAAGUCUUUUGUCUCCUUCCCCCUUGUUUUUUUUUUAUUUCUUUGCAAAUUGUUUGCCAAAACUGUUUUCCUUGGCAUCAACAGCCUGCCCCUUCUGCAGAUGCCGAGGUAAUGCAGGUAAUACACUGUCACAUAAUCAAAUGUGAUUCAAGCCAAUCCCUUCAGCAAUGAGCCUGAAAUCUCAAGCAGUAGGUUAGCCUAUCUUUGAAUGAGGAUUUCUGAAUUUUGGUAAUGUAAUUAGCCAAAUUUACAGCUAAUUCAGGCUUUGCUACACGAUGGAUAAACUUUCCAAAUUACUUAGUGUGUAUGUAUGUAUGUAUGUAUAUAUUUAUAUAAUAUAAGCAGGUGCAUGUAUUAAUUUGUAAUAGAUCCUUGUUCUAUAGGGUUUCUUGGCUGUCAACAUCUAGUAGCAACCAGUUUUUAACCAAUUACCGGGGGUCUGAGCUAGUAGCACUGAAUAUCAAGCCUAGUUUAGCAAGCAUAUAUAAAUGGAAAUGUCUUGUUUUGUCUGAUCCGUUUGCCAUUUUUGUUUAACUAUAGUCUAUAUGGCAUUUCUCUUCAUAUUAACUAAGAUCUCUGGUUUCAUUUAUAGUUGCCUUAUCCCUCUCAAAUGUUAACGAAGGACAAAAUGUAAGUAUUUCUGAAUUUCUCCAAAGAACUCAUGGUGAAAAAAGCAGUUUGUAAUUUUAGGAGCUACCUGAACCAUACAAAGCAAAUAUGUGUAACCUCCUUCAAGCUUGGUGCCUGAAGCCCUAAACAGACCCAUUAAAUUCUUCCCAGGUCUUGAUGAAAAGUACUAAGACUCCAUAAAACAGUUCCAAGAUAUGGAAACAUUUCUUUUUUUUUUCUUUUUCAAUUUGACAGUUUUUAUUGUUUUUGGAUACAGAAAGGCACCAGAGAAAGAAAGGGGGUUACACAUCCAUCAAUCACAUCAAGGUAUACUAGGUCCUCUUGUUACAUGUCACAAGGUCAUUAUCCAAUAGGCCUAUAAUACAAAGUAAACAGUUCUUUGAUACAUAACUUGAUGAGGUACAUAUCUCUAUGAUGUGGUUCAUUAAAUCACGUAAUAUCUGUCCUCGUCGUCUUUUUGCAGACUGGGUUUGUUAUGUUUUGUGUGGAGAGCCUAAAUGCCUUGUGUGGCUUUCUGAGCAUUUUAACGGCAAGGGCUCUGCAUUUCCGCUAUUGUGGGGUUUUUUGUGGUAUCUCUGCUGUGUGGUCUGAGACCGUGUACAAGUAGAACUAUUUACAGGUUAUGGCUGGUGGACGACUAUGGGAUGACCGUUAGGGAUCAUGAUUUUUGUACCUUUUUUAGAGUGUAUGUACGCUAGCCUCUGGUUGGCUUGCUUAAUUUUAAUACGUGAUGUCAGCAACUUGCUAGCCCUAUUCCCGUGUGUGUAAUACUUAAGCUUUUACUUAAGCUUUAGUCGUUUGAGGUGAUAUGCCGUAUGUUCUAAGGCUUGGCAGUGUAUAAGCUGUGUAAGUUGGGAGAUUCUGGUUUUUAGUUCCUGGGAUGGUGCAUUUUGGUUCUGAAUGUUAAUACGGUACAAUUCAGGUUGCCAGUGAUUGAGUGAUUUGCGAACCUUCUUCCGUAGGAAGGAUGCUCGUCUUAUAAGUUCACCCCUAAUUACAGCUCUGUGCACCACCCAGACUGUGCUUGGAGACAUUCCCGGUGUACUGUUAUCUGUAAAGUAGAUAGUGAGUUUAGUCUGUAAUUCUUGUACAAAAGUGGACUUUCUCAAUAAGGUCUCUAUGAGCCUCAAACGGGCUGUUAUGUUGGUACUCAAAUUGAUCCUUUAGCUCUAGAGUGACCGGGGCAUGGUCAGACCAAGUAAUGUUGUCGAUUUCACAUCGUAUAACUAGGGAGAGUACAGAGCCAUGUAUGAAGAAGCCAUCAAUGCGGGAGUACGAAUUAUGUACUGGAGAAUAGUGUGUAUUGGAACGUUCUUGAGUGUGAGUGACACGCCAUGCGUCAUAAUAGUGUUGUUUAUGUAGGAACUUUUUCAGUUGCUGGCAUCCUCUUUUACUAAACGGGGAUAUGGAAACAUUUCUAACGCUCUAAGAAUAAGUUUAUUAAUGUUUGAAAACCAUCCCACACUUACUUUUUAAGAUUAUUCCAACCUAGUUACCCUAUUCCAACCUAGUUCACCCAGUUUCUGAAGCAGACCAGCUUCAACCAAACUCUUGAUCACCUAUACAUGCCUCUGAAGAUCUUCUAGUUUAGACUUACUCAAAAUUGAGCUGCCUAUUCUGUAAUGUCAACAGUUCCAUUAAAGUAAAAGAUUUAAUUUACCUGAAGGCAUUCCAACUUUAUAUGUAUACUUACAAACUCAUCCAAGAAUACUCAAGCCACAUAAAAAUACACACCUGCUUUCAAUGCUCUGUACAAAUCCUAAAUCCAUGGAAUAGCAACUGAUUGACUUUAAAGGAUUAUAAAAUUCCAAGUUCUGCGAUAGUAGCCAGGCCUUAAGAGUUACUCACAUCUGCAAGCCUGGAGGGUCCAUGGCAUACUCACCAGGGCUGAUUCUUUUCCUCUGUCAUUUAUAUUUUUAUAGUAGCACAUGAAAGAUCAUACAAUCAGUUAGAUGCACAUUUUGUUACAUUUUAUGUGCAGCAAAUAAGAGCAGAGGACAGUGAUAGCUGAUGUACACCAUAAAGUAAAACAAACUAGUGUGACUGUCCUGUAAAAUAUUAUCAGAUGUAUAAUGCACAAUUUUAUGUGCAUUUUAUAUAUAUGUAUAGGAGACUGAAUAUGCUGAAACAAUCAUUUGCCAAUGGGAGGGUGUGAGUCCUGAGAAAGUUUGUCAUUUGUACGGUCAUAAAAGAAACUAUAGUCAUAUUCAUAGUUAGCUAAAAUAAUAAUAAGUCAAGAUAAGAAAAAUCAUAGCAAAACUGUAUAACGAAAGAAUCAUGGAAGUGGACACUCGCCAUUCUGCUAUCAGGCCUCUGGUGCCAGUCGAAUUCAGCGGGUAAAAAAGCUCCAUGUCGUGCAUGUCCCAUAGAUGAGCUGAGGAUGUAGGACUUGACCCGAUGUAGGCCUCGCUGAGAUGUUUGGUAAGCGUAAACCCAGUGCCGCUAGAAACUUCUCCAUGUCUGACAGAUGAAAAAGUUACAUUUGCUUCUCUUUAUGUGGCGCCAACAGUUUGCAGCCUGGGCCCCACUAAUAUUGGGUGUCAUGAGCGUCUGUGUCACAGGUUUCAAAGAUUAUCACCAAAGUAUGGUGGACCUAGAUAGGUCAUUAAAGAAGGAGAGUUCAGAACCCUCAAAAUGGUCCAUAAGCGAUUCACGAGUAGCAGCCUGUACAAGUUGCUUGUGUGAUAUCAGAAGCAAAAGGACCUUUAGCUCUUUCAGUAGAUGUUGGAUGUCUGCUCUGGAUGUCUGCUCCGGAGUUAGAUUUGUGCUUACUUAUAUAUCACUUUGCCCAAAUGAUUCAUAUGGAUCGCUCUCUUCAGAUGUAAUGUAUAGUUGGAGACCUCUCACACGAGCACCAUCUUGGCAGGCCGCUGCUGCGGAGUUACUCCGAGCAAGUUGCCAAUAUCUUUAGAAGAGCUAGCUGCUUCACUCUGGUAUGGCUUUGUCUUUCCUCCCAUGGUUCCUCCCAUUGUAUCUGAAACAACUUUAGAAAGUUGAUAUUUUGUUUUUGAGGCGAAAUUUAUGCAUAUGUUUGUAGAUUCUCUGAAUGUACCUUUCCUGGUUAAAGACUUUGUUAUUAUUAAUCUUGCCUACAUUUAGGAAGCCUGGGAUGGAUGCCCUAUGACUGGCAUAGUCCCAUUUGAUAAUGUUGGUAUGCUGGCUUCAUUGCCAGCACACUGGCAAUUGAACAGAGUGACGUCAGACGCCACUGUGUUCUUAUUUGAUGUCUAGUGCGGGCUUGUUGGUUGAUGAGCUUUCCUGCACAAUAAAUGCAACAAACUUGUAAUAUGAGCUAUAUUACCAGUUAUACAGAGGGAUACUAGAGAAAUGCAAAAUGUAAACGUAACACAUGGUUACUACAUUUGAAGACCGCAAGAAAACAGGCUCUAUGCUAAAAUAGACAUUGGCACAAACUCUGUGCCAAUAGUCUGAGUGAGGUGCGUGCCAUUUUUUUCUAUAAUCUAAUUAUUAUUUGUUUGUUUUUCCCCCUAAUUAUUAUUAUUAUUGGUAUUUAUAUAGCGCCAAGUAAUUCUGCAGCGCUUAUACUAAGCUAUACAAUGCACAAUGUAUAAAUAUAUUUACAUGAGGAAUAAAAGUAAAUUAAGUAAUAUUCACCAUGACAAAUUCCCUUUAAAUGUUGAUAAUUCAGAGUGAACUUCCAAUUAUAUGGUACAAGAGCUAAAUUAAAAAAAAAAAUAGACAAAAUUCCCAGUUAGCUAUAUUUUCAGUUCAAUCUCAGUCGGCCUGUUUUUUUUAAAAUCACUCUGAAUUCCUAGCAGUUCACUGCAGAGUUGAUAUACUAAACUUUGAAUUUUAGGGAAUAAAAAUCCUAAUGGCAAUAUUGAGGCAAAAUAGCCAAGCUAUGUAUACAGAAUAGAGUGGGAGAAUUUGCAUAUGGUUCCAGAAAAGUAAACAAGUGGGGAAAACUGUGUGCGUGUGCAUUUUCUGAAAAUUCUGCUAAUUUAUCUAUAAAACAUUUAUAAAGGUUAACUUAAAUUGGAACAGAUCCUAUUGUAAGAGAUCAAAAGGAACAGUAAAUCCAGAUCCUUUUACUGCCCUUUCUCAGUCCUUGUUCAUUAACCUUUUUUUUUUUUUUUUGUUGCAGAAUGUUGGCUUCCAUUUCUUUCCUACAGCCAGAGAGUACUGUAAUCCAAUAGUGUUCUUACCAAUAACAACCAUGGAUCUAUUGUUAAAUAGCCAACUGAAGGCAGCACCUGAUUUGAACUCUAUUCAUUUGCAAUCUUGCAUCCAACUUGCGUUCCCCAAUGACAUUUAAGCCUGAGAUCUCUACUUGGAAACAAGUAUUUAGAGCAGGCGUACUCUUCUGUAAUUCAUCUGAUUUUUAACAGAAUAUUACAGUUAUGAAAUAAAUUAUAGAAAAGGGAAUAAUUAUUUCUUUAACACCUUAAGAACCAAGGCUUGUUUUAGAUGCAACUCUAGAUGUAAACAAGGCCUUUUUGGCGUCUUGCCAUGCAUUCAUUCACACAGCCACAAUAUCCCUCUUUCUUUUUAAGUGCACCCAUACAUAUUAUAAAUCAUUUUUAAAGGAGAAAUAGGGCUUUUUUUUUUUAAAUACCCAAUAUGUAUACAUAAGCAAUAUUAUCUAGGUAGAAAAUAUUUUAAAAUGGAAACUUUUAUUUUUUUAAAUUAACACUUGCACACGAAGUGCAGGUAAAGAAAACUAACUCAAAAUAGAUUCACCAAUUAGUUCUGUUUGUUAUCAUGCCCAAUAUGUCUUGGAUUUUAAUUUCUAAAUUCUAAAACAAAUAAUGAAUUGCAGUUUCUUUUAACUAAAACUGCAAAAUGUUGCAUGCUGAGAUUACAAUUUAAGUAGCAGCCCUGGAAUCCAAAACCGCUACACAAAAGUAUAUAUUUGUAGAAAGUACAUACCACAGGAUAUGUAAUUAUAAGCAUUUUAACACUCAUUUAACCACUUUAUCACAAACCUAGGUUAAAUACAUUUUUUUGAACAUUUUUCCCACAAGUUUAUUUUUUGGAGAAUUUACAGACCACGAGUGUCCCACUACUGCAAACAACACAUUUAUAUUGUGCUACUGUUCUUGAGCACAGUGAACCCCACAUGUAUACCUUUUUCCCUAAUCCAACCUAUAAUCUAACCCUUUUUCCUACCCAUAAUCCAACCCUAUUCCUAUUUAUUUAUUACUAUUUAUUCCUAUUUAUAAUCCAACGCUGAUACCACUCCUAAAUCCACCCUCUAAUCCCACCUCUCUAGGGAUUCCCUCUGUUGAUGUCAGUAUUGAUAUCAGCAGAGGGAUUUCCUAGUUCACACAGUACAGAGGGCUCAGUGACCCAACUGAGGCGCUUGCUGGAGUUUCACAGAGUUUGACUCCGUGAAAUGAUGCUGGACGUCCUCACGCUCUGCAUGACGACAUCCAGCAUCAGAGAUUCAUUGAAGCAGUGAUUUUUUAUGGGGAAGGCCUAAUGCGCAUGUGGCACUCACCGUGAAUGUGCAUUAGGUCCCCCCCCAACCGCAUGACGUCUAAGGAGGAGUACUGUGACCCAGUGUCACAACCUCUGUGCUGGAAUCAGGUAAAUUAAUAAAUGGUUAUUUAACCCUUUACAUCACUGGGAGGGGGCUGCAGGACCAGAGGAACAUCUUUGCAUUACUAACACUAAAGUGUUCCUUUGAACAUGACAGUAGUGAAAUGUGCUGCAGCUAUAUUAUGAUAAUAACUGGAGACAUCUUUGCUAAGAGAAAAAAAAAAUUCCUUUACUAUUGAUUUAAAGGCUGCCGUUAUGAAGAUGUAGCAUGGGACAUUGAUAGGGAUUCAAUUUGUAAAAUAUAUUUGUGUACAGGUCCAUACAUCUCUCAUUCCUCCAUUGCUGGUACUGAAGUAAUCAUUGCCAUAAAGAAUAAGCUUUUCAGUCAAACUGGAUCCAAAACAGAAACUGGUUGAGAUCAGAAGAGGAAAUGACAGACUAGCAGUCUAUGAGCUACUAGUCUCUAGAAAUACACAGAGAUAUAUACAUAUAUUUAGAAUUUCAUAAAAUUGUUUAUACAUGUGCAAGGUAGUGAGAAACAAACAAUAAAAGAGGUGACUGUUUUAGCACAGAGAGUCCCUCUAAGAUAAUAUUGGAAUGUAAAUCUACACGUUUGUCAUUUAUGGUUCCUAAAUACAAAGUUCCAAAGAAAUGAUCACUAGGAAACAAGAAAUACAAUGGUAUCAAUGAGCUGUAGAUUAGGUUAAAGCAGGCUUCACCAAACUCCAGCCCUCCAGAUGUUGCUGAACUACAACUCCCAUGAUUCUCAGCCUAUCUAUUUCAUUCAUUGAAUCAUGGGAGUUGUAGUUCAGCAACAUCUAGAGGGCUGGAGUUUGGGGAAGCCUGGGUUAGAGCACCAACAAGUGGGCCUGUGUAUUCAUAAAACUGCUUUGGAUGUGAAAAAAAUGUUGCAUGUUCAAAAAUUAUGGUUAGUGCGUUAAAAAAACAGUAGAUGAAACAUCUGACAGAUUUAAUUAAUUGCACCAAAAUUCCAUUGAAAAUUAGGCAGAAAAGUGUCAGUGACACUUUGAUAAUUACCCCCCUUUGAUUUAUUAACAACAUGCUGGUGUCCAAACUAAGUGACUAAAAUAAGCAUAAGUUGUGUGUACCAUAACACAUGCACUUUAAGGUAAUGGUGUUUACUGAAAUAUUGGAUAUCUUCUUGCACGUUUGCCAGUCUAGAAUUUGAAGUAUUAGUUCACCAUAAUUUUGCUGAAAUUUGUGCCUUUGUAUAUUUUAAUUUGCUAAAUAAAGUUUAUAUUGUUUUCAUGUUUGGUGUGCAUGUCACUUAUUAGUAAAAGGUUACUCCAAUCGUCAUUGCCAUUUCAAAGGCAAAGGGACAAUAUAGUGUACAAUUUAGUAUUCCUAACACUAUAGUGUUCCUUUAAGUUGGAUAUUUGUGCAUGCUGGGAUAUACAGUGAUUUUGCACCUAGGAAGUUAGAAGUUGAAAAUUGUUGCAACUGAAGAUUUAUAUUUGUGUGCUAUGGAAUCUUGAUAAAUUCUUAGUAAAUUCUGAUUCAAAGCUAUUCACUAAAGUCAGAAUUGAUGUGAAGUCAAGUUUUAAGUCAAUUUCAAAUUUAAGUCCAGACUAGCUAAACAGAAUUGACAUGGAUAUUUUUAUCUAAUUUGGCUAUUUUAGAUUAAGUUUUGAAAUUCACUUUGAAAUUCUCUCUUUACCCCUAACAUUAAUCAUACAUUAUCCCUGGCAUUAAAACAGCAUUAACCCUUAAUCCCUUACCCUACACUUACCAUACCAUAGCACUAAUCCUACCCACAUUUCAGAGGAAUUCCCUGCUCUAUCUCAGUAGUUGGCUGUUUGCAACAAGAGGAGAUCUCCCCCUCAUGCUGCAAAUGUCCCAACAUCCUUAAGUGGUUAAACUCCAGUUUAAAGUCGAAUUACACUGGAUUAUUGAGUAUAUUACCUUUCAGUUGCUCUACUUUCUUCAAAACAUAUAAUACAGUCAUACAUGUUAUUAUGAGCUAUAUCAAAAAUUCAAUUAAAAAGGGAGUAUAGGACGCACAAGAUACUUACACACUAGGCAUUAGGGGAGACAAUAGAAAGGAAGACCAAGCCAGAGAGUGGGAAGCUAACCCCUAGAAUAGACAAAAAAGGAAGUGUAAGCAAACUGAAAGAGGUCGCAGCCCGAAGGCCUCACUGCCCCACUGAACAUUUAAAGAGUUGAGACAUUUUUGUCCACAUGAGACUCUUAAACAAUUGGCGCUCUCCCCACAAAUGUCCUCUAGUAAUCAAGGUUUCAAAUGAUAUAUCCAUAACGUUUUUGGGUGUGUGGAGCUCUCCUCAAUGACACACUACUACAAACUAAUAUAGUGAAUCUACAACGACAUGUUCCUUUAUCUAAUGAUUAACAUUGGACCAGUAUGUUUCCUGUAUAUUAUGAGAAUUCUGUAUUAACCAAAGCAAUGCUUCAAAUCUGUUUGUAAAGUAUUUUUUCACUCUCAAUAAAAACUUUCAAUUAGUGAAAAUUCACUACUGUUGAGUCUGCCAUGGACCCUCCAGGCUUGUAGUGUAAAUUAACCUAUUGGUCUCUUUAGCAUCACAAAACUUGACACUUUGAUCCCUGAUUAUAUAUCAUAUUUUAUUAAAUUAUGUAUUAUAUAUAUUGGAUGCCAUAAUAUAAACCAUAAAUGAACACAAAAAAACACGUAAAAACCAGGACCAUGAGUCACGUUUUAUUAUUUUGGUCUUGUCAUCCCAGGGCUAGUAUCACUGGGUUUUAAUGAUUAUAUACUCACCUAAUUUUGAUAAAUGAAUGUAAAGCUGCUUCCCGCUAAUUUUACCCUGAUAUUCCGUGCACUUAGAAUCAUGAAUCAUCUUGUGUUCCACUAUCUUGGUUCCAAACUGUGUAUUUAAUACUCUGAUGCAGUAUCCAAAAUGAAGACUAUCAAAGAAAAAAAAAAAAAAUAGGACACAGAGCAAACAAUAAAAAAAAAAACCAAAUAUAAUGUGAAUCAGAGUUUAGAAGAGUUAGUUGGAGAUGCAGUACUUUCCACUCUUCAUUUCUAAAAUGUAUUAAUCUGUCCAUUACCAUCUUCCCAAUUGCUUUAUAUUGGCAGUGUCACAGCACUUUUAUUUCUCUACAAAUGUUUGCUUCUGGCUGCUGACCCAUCUGUUAGUAUUUAUCUAAUAUAACUUUUCCGACUUUAUGGGGGUUGUUGAAUCAUUCUGGAGCAAUCAGCAAGAAUGUUCCUUUGGUUUCCUUAGUGAAUACCCCAGUUUUAGAUCUUUGCCACAAAAUUAUUCUUUAAACAUAAUCCUCAAAACCUUAAUGAACUGCUCAAUAAAAAUAGAAUUAACAAAAAAUCCAUUGUGAGAUCAGUUGGUAAUUAAUUACAUGUGUGCUAAUACUUUUGCAGUUAUAGACAGAAUUGAUUUAGUAGUCUUCAUCCAGCAGGUGGCGAAAAAGAGCUUUCUAUAUUAAGCUGAUGUUUAUUUACUAUUUGUAAAUUUGUCUGCGUGGACAACAAUUCAUACAGUAUGGCGUUUACUCAAUAAACACUAACUUAUAGUGAACUCAAAUAUUUUAAAAAAAAAUUUGAUUAAAACAAAAAAAUUAGGCUUACAUAGCCAAGCUAAAGCUGAGUUGGAGUUGUUUUUUUGCCUAAAUUUUGCAAUUCAGUUAUCAAUUCACUACAUUUCUGUGUUUAUUGUGAUAACUACUGAGUUAUUGGUUUUUUGUUUUUAUUUUUUUUACCAAAGUGUUCCUGAAUAUAAAGGUUUAAGUAGCUGUUUAGGAUCCUGGUACCUCCUACCCCCUUAUAAAAAAUAAAAAAAAAGUUGAUUUACAAACUUGAUGAUCUCCCAUAGGGGAGGCUAUUGCUCAUGCAUCUCUAUGAGGAGCUUUCAGCAUCCUCAUGCAGAGUGUGGACUUGAGUGUGGACCCAGGAAGCACCUCUACUGGCCGUUUUAAUGACUGUCACCGGAGGUGUACCUAGACAGUAAUGUAAACACUGCCUUUUCUCUGAAAAUACAGUGUCUAAUUUAAAAAGCCUGCAUGGAAAGACAGUAGACACCAGAACAACUACAUUAAGCUGUAGUUCUUCUGGUGACUAUAGUGUCCCUUUAAGUUGGCACUGUCACAAAUUAUCUAAUGAUUAUUAUAUUGUGUUGUUUGGGGGUAUAUACUUCAAGUGGUUGUAUUAUUCUUCUAUGGAGUGUUUCUUUAAAGGCUAAUAGUUGGAUCCACAUGUACCCUUUGUGUAAUUUAAAACCAGUUAUCAAUAAAGCUCCCACACAUCCUGAGCAGUAUUCAUUCAUAGCUCCUCAUACUGCAUUUUACCUCAAAUGCUACAAAAAGGUGAUGAAAAUCUCACGUUAAAGUUCCAAAGCCUAGAAAUAACACACACCCUGGCUGCCAUUAAAAAAAUACUUAUUAUAUUAAAAAGAUACUCCAACCAUCACAACCACUACAGUAUGCUGUAGUGGUCAUGAUGGUAGGAGUACCCUGGCAUCGUUCUCCAGUAAUGGAACAAGCUGUGCUACAAUGGUUUGCCUUCUUACCUGGUUCUGCCGUGUGCCAGGUCUCCAGUGUAGGGAGGUUUCCAAGAUUUGGCUUCUGGAGAGCUGCAGAAUGCACUUAUAGUUUUAACCUUUUUAUAAAUAAGCACAGCACACUUUAAGAAUGUAUUUUUAAAGGCACAGCACACCUUAUGCAUGCAUACACAGUUGACCUUAGCCAACCCAGAACUCUUGUACUGGGCUGGUCUGUGAUGCCCCAUGACGCAAGGGAUUAAACUUGUUAUAUGCAGAGAAAAGCGCUGCUCAUACCGACUCCAGACACCAUGAGCACUUCAAAAGUAACCCUUUAAUAAAGUGUCAACAUACUGCCGUGCUGUACCAGUGCUUUAACCAGUCUUCCUGUUGGAGGGAAAACCCAUAGAACUAGAGAACCGCUGUUCACUUAUACUGUCAGUUUAUCCGUUAAAUGUACUCAGUGCCGGAUUAAGAUUGCCCAAGGCAGUGUACAAGAUUGGGGCCCCCUCAUAAAAUCCCGGGCUCUGUUUCUGUCCAUUUUGUGUGUAUGUGUGUACCUUUCUCCCAGUUUAUGUGCACUGGUGUACAUGUAGCAGUCGCAGGGGUCACAGCUGUGACCGGGCCUGUCACUCCAGGGGCCGCCCUGCAGACAUCAUCAUUUGCGGCCCAGCCUGUGCAUCAAACCACCGGGGCCGCAAGUUAAGGUGCCCAUCGGGUGGCCCAUGCUGUCAGGGCCACCCGAUGGAUAUGGAUUUUCAGGGGGCCCAGUCAACGCUGCGGCGCUUUAACAGCGUAACCGGGCCCCCUGUGAUGAGAUCAUCACACGCUGGGAGAAAGUGACUCCCUGUCACUCCUCCCAGGUAUCAAUGAGAGCCCGCGCGGGAGGAAGCAGAGGGAUUCAGAGUGGGAACUCUGACUCCCAUCAACCUGAGCCACCACUGGACCCCAGGGAAAGUCACCCUCCUGCACCUAAAAGGUAGGAAACAGGAGGGUGACCUAAAUAUUAUGUGUGUGUUUUUGUAUGUAUGUGUCCGUGUCUAUCUGUCUGUGUCUGUCUGUAUGUAUGUCUGUCUGUUUGUAUGUAUGUCUUGUGUGUGUGCGUGUCUGUCUGUAUGUGUGCCUGUCUGUUUGAAUGUGUAUUUGUAUGUGUGUCGUGUGUGUGUGUGUGUAUGUGUGUGCCUGUCUGUAUGUGUCUGUCUGUAUGUAUGUGUGCCUGUCUGUUUGUAUGUGUGUCUUGUCUGUAUGUAUGUGUGCCUGUCUGUCUGUAUGUAUGUAUGUGUCUUUGUAUGUAUCUGUGCCUGUCUGAAUGUAUGUGUCUUUGUAAGUAUGUGUAGUGUGUGUAUGUAUGUGUCUGUAUGUGUCUGUCUGUGUGUGUCUGUCGGGCUGUGGGGAAGAAAGUGAGGGAGGGAGGAGGGGGGCCCCCCAUGGAUCAGUUUCACACUGGGGCCUCAUUGGCUGUGUGUACGCCACUGUUUAUGUGUAUACCUUUUUCCCAGCUUUGGAAGGUGAGCUGGAUCUCUGCUGGUCCAGUGGCAGAUCACUGUGGUCUGCACCACUAUCUGGUUUAGAACACUUUCAGAGCUCCCUUGUAGUUCUGGUUCUCAGUUAAGGAUGGCAGAAAGGGGACGGCAAGGGGGCUCUUAAAAUGGUCUGCACCUAAUAGAGGUGUAGACCACAACGCUCCCGCAACAAAUUGAGAUUGGUCAAGAAGGGAAAUCUUCUGAUCCCCCAGGCACAUCAAGGAGGCCCCCCUCACAGCCAGAAUUGUUGCACGAGGCCCAGUCAGGGGCUCAUCAAGCCUGCCUAAUGGGUAAUCUGACUCUGGAUAUACUAAUCUCACUUGUCUAAUAUAACCAGUUGGUUGGCAACUCAGCCUUUAAUUUGCUAUACUGCUAAAGUGGGACUUUAUAAUUAGUUGGUUGCUAUAUCUAUCUGAGUUCAGGUGUCAUUUUAAAACUCUGUCAGUCAUCACAUCAUAAUACCAGCUCCAAGCAUCAAGUGUUCUCAUUGCAGUAAAACAUGACUUGAAAGAUUAGCUCAAUAUAGUCAUCUCUAAUUAUCACACAUGAUAGCAUGUGUAAGUAAUAUGCCACCAAAAGUAGUAUUUUAAACGGGUGGAUUAAUGGAAAUGUCUCCAGGCAGUGUGUAAAAAAAGAAUAAUGACUGUUCAGGUGAAAACAGACAGCUAUGAUCCAUGUGUUGAGCUGUGUUUUUCCUCACUUACAUAUAGAAAAGAGGCAUGUUAACUAAAUGCCAUAUAUGCAGCAGCAAGUUAGUCAUAGUCAAAGUCAAAGUUAGUCCUUCAAUUCAACUGCAAUUUUUUUCGUGUUUACUAUUUGAGGACAAUUUUAGCAGAACCGAAUUAUCCCUUAUUUGAGACCAAACAAUUCCAAAUCUAUUUCCAAAAAUAAAAAAGCAAUAGACUCACUAGCUACAUAAACUGCAAGUGAGUACAGAUACAAAAUAAAAUAAAAAUGCAAAUAGUGAUCUAAGAUGAAACGAAGUACAAUAAUGUAUCGAAAGUUGAAAUUCCAUAGACUAUGAUGAAAGGAUCCUGACUGGCCAAGAUGUUUCCAGGAUUGGGCAGAAGAUCAUAAUUGAUCAUAUAAUGUGUGGAGAUUUGCAUGACUCCGUCUUACUUGAUUUAAAAAAAAAAAUUAUUCUAAAUUUAAAAAUGUGUUUAUUAACGAGCAUGGUGAAAUUGACGUGCUUAUAUAGAAAAAUGGGAUCUGGUCUCACAGCCAAAUGGAGCACAGUUGAUAGACUACUUCCACAGAGUUGCCUAGACUGUGCUCCCCAAAUACAUAGGUAAGCCGGGUAGAAAUAAAGGAAUACUUUAGUUCCAGGAAUACAAAGCUGUAUUCCUAGCACUACUAUAGCUCCCUUUGCCUCUCCCCACCCUACCACCCCCCACUGCAGUAAAGAAAGAGUUAAAAACCCUUCGUUUACAUACCUAAUCUCGGUCGCGGCUCCGCCUCCUCUGUUGUCCCUUGAUGAGUGGGCGCUAAUGAAUUGUUUCUUUACUAUGGGUUAAUAGCUGACGCAGGAUGUCCUCAUGCUACGUCCAGCGUCAGUAAUCAGACCAAAAGUGCGUUAGGAUCCAGGAAGCAUCUCCAGUGGCUGUCUGGUAGACAGCCACAGGAGCCAGACUUAGUGCUGCAGUGUAGUGACAGUGCACCCAUACCACCUCAAUGAGCUGAAGUGGUCUGGGUGCCUAUAGGUGUUAACAGUUUGGGACAGGCGUUGAAUAUAGACUUGAUCCAUACUUUUCACCACUCACCCAAGAGGUUGUUGAGAGAAUGAACCUGGAGUCUCAGGGUGAAUGCUUUUAAGACUGUGGGCAUGUGUACACUUUAACUACACAGUUAAAAAUGUAUAAUGAUUUCUGACAUUUCUGUAAGUUUCUAUUUUUUUUUGUUAGAAGUACAUUUUUUGUUUAAAAAUGUAUUUCCCCUCUUUUUUCAAUUUUUUCGAUUUUGUUAAAUGUACUAGGAGAUUCAUUUUAGUGCAUAUGUGAUUCUGCCCUGUAGCAUUUUUUAAAGUUUAAUUUAGAUCAUACACGAAAGUAAUUGUUUUAAUUCCAAAUGCAAAGUAAAUUUUAAAAACCGUUUUACAGCAUACAAUAAUAAUGAUCUCCCCUAAAUCCCAUUUCCUGAGCCAUCAAAUAUUGUAAAAUGUGUAUCUUUAAAUUUGUUUGCACAAGCACCUUACUAUUGAUCACUGUUUUUAGAUUGCUUUGUUUUACACAGAAAUAAGGGAAUAUGUGAUAGGGACAUGUUUUUAGCGUCAGUAAAAUAAAAAGUUGAUCCUGUCCCUUUAAGUAUAAUUGCCCGUCCCUAUGCUGUUUUCCUGUUUGAUAAUGUUUUAAAGACUUCGAUUAGAAAACUUUUUCCCUUUUCCAUGUUACCUUGUUAAUAUGUUAAUAUUUCCAUAGGUGCUAGGUUUCGCACAUUAAACUCUCUUAGACAGCAUCAGUUGCAUGGAAACUCCGUAUAGUGUUUAUUUUCUGUGUGAAUGUUUUUCUUGUUGUUUUGUUUUUUUUCACCAUCUGUUAGUUUCAUGGUUUUAUGUCAUAUCUGUAUCAUUUUCCAUUCUGUAUUGACUUUUCCAUUCCAUUAUCUCCAAUACGGUUCACUUAUUUUAAUUUACUAAGGUUCAUCCAGGAUGAUAAUUAAUCUAGUCUUUUAACUUUUUUUUUUUUUUUUUUUAAAUAUGUACAUGUUGAAUUGUUUUAUUUUAUUUAAUGUGCUUUUCCUUUCUGGUGGUUAGUUAAAAUGAUGAGGUGAGAGAAUUGAUAGAUGAAGUGUACUUUUUAUCGUGGAUUGCAUCAAUGAGUUGCCACUGUGCCUGGAAAAUGUGGUAAAUGCAAUACUUUUUAGGCAAGAUUUAUCAUGCAAUCACAUUAGUUAUCACUUUAGUUAAGGAACACUCAAAGCACCAAAAUCACUUCAUUUUAUCAAAUCAGGCCCCCAAACAGUCCCGAUUUCAGUGGAAUAGUCCCAGUUUUAGGGACCUGUCCUGCCAUCCCAAUUGUGUUUCUUGGUGACAGUAAACUAUCCCUUGAAUGCUCUUGCAAUGUAAAUUGGUACUAGGAGUAUUUCAGAAGCAUACUCUGCAAGGUCCUGUAGGAUGGGGGUGGCCAGACAGGCUUCUUCAGUGGGCUGGCUGCCCCUUAUUGGCGUCACUAGUGUUGCGAUUUGCAUAACUGUCGAUGCCCCUCUCAGGGCAUGUACCGUCCCAAUCUUAUACCUCACAAAGUUGGUAGGAAUGCAUAGACGCUUGCAUAGCUCCUCAUGCAACAUAUGAAAACACUGUUGUUUCUUUCAAAUGGCAAUGUUUAUAUGUUGCAGUUUCCACACCUUAUAGAGCAAUUACCUAGUCAGCCAUUAGGGGCUUCCAACACAAAUCAAUUCAAUUAUUGAAUCCAUUCGACAUCCAUUGCUAGCAUGCACAGUAUGCUUACAUUUUGUGCAUCUAAUGCUUCUCUCUGAGAAGGAUUUCUCAUAGAGAAUCAUUGGAUUGGCAGAUCACAACAAUUCCUGCACACGUGUUGUGCCUUUAGUGCAGUAAAGAAUCUGGUCAGGAUUGAUGACUUCAAUGAAGAAGUUUUAGGCUGUAUUGAGGAGACUGUCUGGCGCUGGAAUAGAGGUAACUUUUAUAGAGUAAUAGUUUAAAAUAAUGAAAUCAUCACACCUAAUUAAAAAAUUAUAUGUUGCGUAUGCGUUUAACUUUGUCCAGUUACUCCCAUUCCAUAGGGACAUUUAAAUAACCGACAUCCUACUUCCUAGUGGCCUACCACUCUAAUAAACAUCGCAACAUGUAGCUGAUAAUUAUCAAUUUGGUGGUGUAUCUUGAUACCCUCUUAAAGAGCUCAUGGAAUGUCUGUAUGUGAGACCCAUGAUGCCACGAGAGCUGUCUUCUAUACAUUUCCUAUUCUUGUGGUCUCUUCCAGUUCGACUCUUAGUUGCAUUUACCAUUGUGUUACUUACUUUCCUCCUUCAGUUACCCAGCUAGCAUUGCCAAGUAGACCAUUGCAGGGUAUGUCCAAAUAUACAUUCUGUGUAGUUUGUGUUACUCUCCUUUCAUGUGUUGUCCAAAUAUCCAGCUAUGAUUGACUUAAUUUAGUUCUUCCUUACCUGCAAGUGUGCACCUCCAGCUCACUGUCAACCAUUUUUAUAGGAUCAGUCCAGUGGCGUACAUACCGGGGUCGCGGCUGCGACCGGGCCCGGCCCACCAGGGGGCCCGGCCGCCCCUGCGACCCGGUAUGUACCUACUGGGCCAGCCUCUUCUCCUGGGGGGCCCAGGAGGCAGCCACCUCAGGGCCCCCCCGAGGCUGGCCCUGCUGACCCCGGCGGGCGGCAUGCGAGGGAGCACUCUCCCCUGAGUGCUUCCUCUUCAGCUCCCUCGCGCACCGCACUGAUGCCGGAGCCGGAAGAUGAUGCCAUCUUCCGGCGCCGGCAUCCCUAUGCGGCGCACGAGGGAGCUGAAGAGGAAGCACUCAGGGGAGAGUGCUCCCUCGCGCGCCGGCCACCCAGACUGCCCGCCUGCCCAGCAGCACCACUGGACCCCAGGGAAUCCCCCCAGCACUCCAAAAGGUAAGGAGGCUGGGGGGAUUAAAUUUAAAAAAAAAUGUGUGUGUGUGUUAGAGUGUGUGUGUGUUAGAGUGUGUGUGUGUGUGUGUUAGUGAGUGUUAGUGUUUGUUUGUGUGUUUGUUUGUGUUAGUGUGUGUCAGUGAGUGUGUCUGUUAUUGGGUGUGUGUCUGCUAGUGAGUGUGUUACUGUGUGUGUCUGUUACUGAGUGUGUUUGAUGUCUGUUAGUGAGUGUGUGUUUGUCAGUGAAAGUGUAUGUUUUGUAAGUGAGUGUGUAUGUAUGUCUGUCGCUGAGUGUGUCUCUGUCAGUAAAUGUGUGUGUCUGUUAGCUAGUGUGUAUGCGUCUGUUCGUGAGAGUGUGUAUCUUCAGCAUUUACCUUUCUCCAGCGUCGGACUCCCUUGGCGCUGGGGAUCCCUCUGCCUCUCAGCUCCGAAUGCACAUGCGUGGCAAGAGGCGCACGCGCAUUUAAACCGCCCAUAGGAAAGCAUUACUCAAUGCUUUCCUAUGGACGUUCAGUGUCUUCUCACUGUGAUUUUCACAGUGAGAAUCGCGGAAGCUCCUCUAACAGCUGUCAAUGAGACAGCCACCAGAGGCUGGAUUAACCCUCAGUGAAACAUAGCCGUUUCUCUGAAACUGCUAUGUUUUCAGCUGCAGGGUUAAAACUAGAGGGACCUGGCACCCAGAUCACUUCAUUGAGCUGAUGUGAUCUGGGUGUCUGUAGUGGUCCUUUAAGUGUGUGUGCAUACCGCGGUCGACUCAAGCAAAAAUGGCCUAGGAUGUUGGCAUUUGCAUCCAGAGCACUCUCUUCAGCUGAGCAAAAUUAUGCUGAAAUUGAAAAGGAAUGUUUAAGCAUUGUUUUUGCCUGUCAGCGUUUCCAUCAUUAUCUCUAUGGCCGAGAUGCAAUCAUUGCUGAAACUGAUCACAAACCGUUAAAAGCCAUAUUCAAGAAGCCGCUUUUAUGUGCUCCAAAGCGUUUGCAGAGCAUGAUGCUUACAUUGCAGAGUUACAAUUUCAAUGUUGUGUACAAGCCAGGAUUUGAAAUGUACACCCUAAGCAGAGCUUCAAUGGAACACGUGGCACCUGGAGGUGAACAUGAGCAUCUUGCAGUUUGUUUGUUGCAGCAGGAACAGAAUUUAUUUGCCGAAGUCAAUCAAGCUGACUAUCUUAAUGUCACAGAUCAGUGACUACAUCAGCUCAUACAGCACACAGAAAGUGAUGCAACUUUGCAAGCACUGAAGUCUAUAGUUCUGAUGGGGUGGCCAAAUGAAAAGGAUGCAGCACCUGCAAUUGUGAAGGAAUAUUGGUCCUUCAGAGAUGAGAUCAGCAUACAAAAUGGUAUCUUGUACAAAGGUCCAAGGGUCAUAGUGCCAAAGUCACUAAGAGCAGAGAUGUUUUCGCACAUACACUCAAGCCACAUUGGAGGUGAGGCUUGCUACAGACAAGCUUGUGAUACUCUUUACUGGCCCAACAUGCAAGGUGAAAUCAAAGACUUUGUCAGCAAUUGUCCCACUUGCAAUGAAUAUGCACACUCGCAACAAAAAGAAACCUUGAUGUCACAUGAGAUACCUACACGUCCUUAGCAGAUUGUAAGCAUGGACUUAUUCAACCAUGCUGGAAAAGAGUACCUGCUCUUAGUAGAUCAUUACUCAGACUUCUGGGAAAUUGAACUGCUUCCUGACAUGUCCACUGAAACUACAAUUAAUCGAUGCAAGGAGCAAUUUGCACGUCAUGGCCAACCAACUAAAGUGAUUUCAGACAAUGGUCCUCAGUUUGCAAGCUUACAGUUCAGGAAAUUUGCUACUGAAUGGGCUUUUGAGAAUGUGAUUUCUUCACCACGUCAUCCACAAGCUAAUGGCAAAGCUGAAUCUGCUGUGAAAAUAGUGAAGAAUUUAUGCAAAAAAGCUAAAAGUGAUGGUAAAGACCCAUGGGAAGCCAUCUUACAGUGGAGAAACACUCCAACAGAGGGUAUGGAUAGUAGUCUGGCACAGAGACUGAUGUCAAGGAGAUUAAAGAGCUACUUACCAGUAGCCAACAAGCUACUUGAACCCUCUGUAAUACAAGGUGUACCAGAAAAGUUACGACUUAAGAGGCAAGUGUUUUAAGGCUAGAUAUGACUAAUCUGCUAGGGAUUUACCUGAACUGAAUAUUGGGGAACAAAUCCGUAUGAAACAGCUUCCUGGAGAUUGAACAGGUCGCUGGAGAAUGGGAACCUGUCUGCAAAAGGUUGCACCACGCUCUUAUAUUCUGGAUAUCGAAGGAACUCUCGACCGACGCAAUCGUGUGGAUCUCUGAGUGGCUGAGAAGCCCAAUUCUCAAUAUCCAGUUGUCAAGCCAGACACACCUGGUAUUCCAAGGUAGACAUGUGCAAUUCGUUUUGGGCCGAAUAUGUAUUCAGACGAAUUUCGGGCAAUUCGGACAUUCGGGUACCGAAUUACAAAGGUCCCAAAGUUCCGAAAUUACCGAAGUUCCGAAGCACAGUUUUGCCUAAGUACUAAUAUACUUACCCAGUGGAAGAAGAAGAAUGUUACACUGUAUACAAUUGUAAAUAAAAAGUAUACAAACGUAGCCAGGAUUCAGCUGUAAGCAUUUGCAACACUUACAACAAUCAAGUAACAUACAUUCAUAUAAAAUGUAAGUUACUUAGCCAAUCAAUGUAAUGACAGGAAUGAAUAAGUAGAUAACUCCCUAAUUCCCACGGUAUUAGGGAGCAAUCUACUAAAAGGCUGAAAGACCUAAAUUGGUCUUUCAGCCAAAUUUACUAAUACUAAGUAAAGAUUACUUAGUAUUAGUAAAUGAUGCCCCUACUCGCUAUACCGCGAGUAGGAGCAUGUCUAUUAAAGGUCGGGAGGGGGGAACCCUUUUUUUUUUUUUAAACAGUGAACAGCCACUGGCAGAAUUGGUAAGUUGUAUUUGCUUAAUGCUGUUCUCCAAGUAAGCUACCAUCAGUUUUCUGCUCUUGGUGCUUCAUCCACCACGAGUGCAUGUCAGUGGUGUACUCUUGGAUAUGUGUGAGUGUACAACACCAAUGUCAUUGGAGCAUUCUGAUAGAUCAUGGAAGAUAUUGUCUCAUGAUGACUUUGCCUUUUGAUAAGUUUUGUCAACUUGAGGUCUUGACGUAACACAAAAAAGGUCACUACUUUGUCUUAUAUCUUUUGACUGUGUAAUGUAUUUUACAAUAUAUUUUUUAACUUGUGUUUUGUAGCCAAAAUGUGAUUUAUACAAAUUGCCUGGAUGUCCAAGAGACUUACACCCUGUUUGUGGGACAAAUGGAGUCACAUAUUCAAAUGAAUGCAUGCUGUGUUACUUUAACAGGUAAGGCUAAUUGAUAAACUCUUAUGGAGCAUGUUUCCACUUUGACAUCAUCACAGGCAGGUCCCAGAAGCUCUCCUGCCACCAUAUUUAGAAGCUCACAUCCCUGCAGCAGUUAAAUAUAUUGGAUGUUAAAUUUGCACAAGCCAUUAUGCAAUAGGCACUUAGAUGCCUAUUGCUUCUGCAUAUCGUACCUGCUCCCAUUUGGCCACCUGGAAAACACCUUCUGUGCUGCUGCUUCCAAUGACCUAAUGACACAACAGCAGGUUUUCUCCCAACUGAUGCCACUGGAAAUGGCACCCACAUGCCCACUUGAGCACCACAUUUAGCAGAAAAAUUAAGAUGAUUUUGUGCUGCUCUGAUGUUUUAGGUGUGGUAAAAUGAUCAAUUACCAAAUUAAUAUAUAUAUUACACAAGGUUUGUCUACAUCAAAAGGUAUUUAUUAGAAGGCAACAACACAAUACUAUAAAUUUAUCACAAACACACAGCCCAGACCCACGGAGCAACAACCCUUUUUAAAUCUAUCUAUAUAGUAAUCCCCUUCCCCACACGUUUGAUCUCACCCACGGUUAGGCCUUCACAUCUAGUAACGGCUCACUGCUGCAAGUUCAACAUCACAACCACCAAGGAAGAAAAGGAAGCAACGGAGUGUAACAUGGUUCACCAUGAUAGCACAUGGUGUCUGCAUAUCUGCUCUGUAGCACAGCUAAGAAGGAACAGAGAGGAAUGGAGAUAGGGGGAAGUGGUUAUCUCUUUCCUGACUUGUAAAGGUAUUGAAUUACCCAAUUACCAUAUCAAAGGGUAAUGCUUAUCCCACUGUAAGAAAAGCAUACAUGAGCUUGGUCACAUGACCCCUGGUCACCAUAUUACAUUGGUGACAGAAUGUCACCACAUUAGGGUCUUCAGCAUAAUAUACCCCUUACACACAUGCAGGCACUUCAUAUGUAAUCCAUGUAUGACUGCACUUCAUGUAUAAUGAAUGUGUGUGUGUGUGUGUUGCACACAUUGCAUAAAAUGUAGAGUCAUUGACAUACACAGACACGCUGAUGAUAAUCUACUGUAUUUUUUUUAUAAUAAUAAAUGUAUUUAAUGUGGUGCUCAUUUUACUUUAAAUUGUAUAUUAACCCCUUAGUGACCAGACCAUUUUCCCAUUUUCUUACUGUUAAGGACCAGGGCUCUUUUUACAUUUCUGCAAUGUUUGUGUUUAGCUGUAAUUUUCCUCUUACUCAUUUACUGUACUCACACAUAUUAUAUACAGUUUUUCUCGCCAUUAGUCUUUCUAAAGAUUUUCAUCAUCUCAUAUAAUUUACCAAAAACAAAAAUGAUAAAAUAUGAUGAAAAAAAUCUAAAAAAAAAACACACUUUUUCUAACUUUGACCCCCAAAUCUGUUACACAUCUACAACCACCAAAAAAACACCCAUGCUAAAUAGUUUCAAAAUUUUGUCCUAAAUUUAGAAAUGCCCAAUGUAACAUGUUCUCAGCUUUUUUUGGGAAAGUUAUAGGGCUAUAAGUACAAGUAGCACUUUGCUAUUUCCAAACCAUUUGUUUUCAAAAUUAACGUUACAUUGUAACACUGAUAUCUGUCAGGAAUCCUAGAAUAAAACUUCACAUGUAUAUAUUUUUUUAAAAGAAGUCAACCUGAGAUAUUAAACCGGGGGUAUAUUGAUUCUUUUCAUUCAACCAUUUUACCGCCAAUCUAUGCAAAAUUAAAAAAAAAAAUAUUUGUGAUUUUUUUGACACACAUAGCAAUUUAAGAAUACAUGUACGAAUAACUUUAAAGUUUACUGCCAAAGAACACCCCAACAUGUGUUCAGCAACAUCUCCUGAGUACAGUGAUACCCACAUGUAUAGGUGUUUCGGGUUCUUUGGGGGCUACAAGACCUUAUUUGGAGGGUGCGCAUUCCAGUUUUCCAACUUGGAAUUUUCUCAACUGGUCAUCAUGCACCCAUGUCCUAUUUGGGACAUUUUUGAAGCCGGCCAAUGCAAUUUACCCCCAUCAAACCAUAUAUUUUUGAAAAGUAAACACCCUAGGGUAUUUCAAAUGGUGGUAUUUUAACACUUUCAAUGCACUAAUUCUACCACCAGUCUUUGUCAAACUUUCGGUUAGUCAUUUUUUUGUGUUAUUUUUCUCUCAUGUAAUUUAGGCAUGGAUUCUCAGUUCCUGUUAUGUUACUGACCCCAAUAUGUGUUCAGCAACCUCUCCCAAGUACAACAGUGCCCCCAAUGUACAGGUUUUAUGGGUUUUUACAAAUUUACAGGGGUAAAUGUAGGGCUUUCCCCUUUUCCAUGUUUGCACAUUGAAAUUUGCCAAAUUGGUUUGCUGGGCCUAUGUUGCCCUGUGAGACCAUAUAGCAGUCCAGGAAUGAAAAUUAACCCCAUCAUGACAUACCAUUUGUAAAAGUAGACAACCCACGGUAUUCAAAAUGGGGUAUGUCCAGUCUUUUGUAGUAGCCACAUACGCUUACCAAAGUUAGCGUUCAUAUUUGUUUUUUGCAUUUUUUUACACAAAAACUGCAGUUUUACUGGUGAUUUAAUCGUCGUGAUAGGUUUUACUGUUUUAAACACUCAUGUUAGUGUUCAGCGAAGUCUAUAUAUAUGCACACACACACACACACACAUAAUACGUGUGUAUGUAUGUGCAGCGCUACGGAAUCUGAUUGCGCUAUAUAAAUAAUAAUAAUAUAUAUAUAUAUAUAUAUACACACAUACACAUAUAUACGUGUGUAUAUAAUAUGUGUGUGUGUGUAUAUAUAUAUAUAUAUAUAUAAUAUAUAUAUAUACACACACACACACACACUUAUUUCUUAUAUGUAUAAUAUAUUAUAAUUAAACAUUUUAUAAUAUAUUAUACAUAUAUAUGAUUUAAUCAUAAGUGUAUUUUGAGAUAUAUAUGUAUGUAAUAUAUUUAUUUAUUUUUUUUACUUUUAUGCAGCCUGGGGGACUGUCUGACAGCUCAGACAGUCCCCCUGCUGGCAGCUCCUAGACUCCUAUUGCAGCAAUGUGAUCAUGGUGACCCCUCGAGGCACUCAUUACAGGCAGAGCUUUGGAAGCCUGCCUGAUGGCUUCCAAUGCUCUGCCUCACUGCCGGGUGCCACGUGUUCUCCGGGGGCCACCGGCAGUGAGGGGGAUAUCGCAGCGAUGCCUCAACAUCAAGGCAUUGCUGCAAUACCAUCAGAGCUUCCAGCACUCUAAUUCCCCGCGGACGUAUCAGGUACAUCCGCUGUCCGUAAGGACCAUUUUGUGUCGGACGUACCUGAUAUGUUCUUGGUCGGGAAGGGGUUAAAGAUUUAGUUGCAUGUGUCACAAUUCAGAUCAGUCCAGGCACACGUUGCUUUGCUUGAUUGGGGUAGAAAUCAGAAUAUUGCUUUUUCUCCACCACACAUAUAGUAUGUUUAAAGAGACAUUACAGGCCCCCAGACCACUUCAUCUGUCCCACUUAGUCCUGCAAUAUAAAGAGAAACCGCAAUGAUUACAUUGCAGCAAUAACACUGCCUCUAGUGGCUGUCAAUCAAACAUCCAUUAGAUGCUGUUCCUGGUGGCUAACCGACCAGACUCCUGAAGCACUAUGUGAAGAUGGUGCCCUGUUUUUUUAUUUUUAAAAAGAGGGGACCAGAGGGCACUAUACUGUUAGGAAUACAGAUUUAUAUUCCUAACUCUAUAGAACCCCUUUAAUGACAAAGAUGAUAUAAAUACUGUCCUUGAAUUUCUGUCAUUAAACCAAAAUAUCUCCAGGAGAUAUAUGUGAAUUUCCACAUUUAAUUUUAGUUUUCAGACCUCACUAACACAUAUUUGUUAAAUAUAUAAGUAUGCCUGUUAUUCAAAAUGCUGGAAGAUGACAGUUGAGGAGCUAAGUACCUGUCAAUUUCUACAACUCUUUACAGCCUGUGCUCAGAUUUUCUUAUUCCGUGACACAGAAGAGAAUUGUCCUCUUUAUUUUUUAUUUUUUUUUGUGGCACUUUACAUAAAGAAGUCGUUCCCCAGAAUCUGAUGAAAUUUGUUAUUCCCUGCUAUAGUUGCUAUGGAUGGCAGUACAAUAAGGAAUGGCUGAGAUUACUGAGAGCGAUAGUCCACAGCAACUGUGAAAGCAGCAGUUGACGGCUUGUUCAGGAAUAGCUGCUGUAUAAUACAAUGCGAUCAAGCUCAGACAAACACAGGCUGAGUUGCCUAAUCCACUGUGGUAUGCGCUCGGUUUCCAACAUGCUUACCCAGCCUUGGCCUGUAAGGCACAGUGUGGCAUAUGGGCUCUGCACGCUUUGAAGGGUGUGCCAGAGCAGUAAACUAUACCAGUCUGCCAAGGUUAAGGGAUUGGCUUGCAUCUCCCUUUACUUUCAUGAACGAGUGAUCAGGUAUUAACCUCUAUUAAUAAUGGAUUGCAAAGGAGCACUGCCUGCCUGUAUCUGUCAAUGUAUACUCGUUAACAAACAGUACAGCAUAUCAAGCAUUGCAUGUCACAUCACUGAUUUUAUAUACAGACAGAGUGUAACUUUAAAUACAAACUUUACUUAGAUAAAUAUAAUAGAUAAUACCAUUAUGUAGGGUUUUCCACUAAACUGGGAAAUAUGGAAAAACCGACAAAGAAUUAGAAAUUCUAGGCUAUGACUGAAUUGGAAAAAUUAUCCAACUUGGAUAUAUUUACCAAAUAUAGUAAAAUAUCAAAAAAAUUUGCAUAUUUUCCAUAAUGAAUUAAAGCUGGGCUGGGCAAACGGUAGAUCCCCAGAUGUGGAAGAACUCCAACGACCAUGAUACAUCAUGUUAGUUGCCGCUCUACAAUAUCUGGAUAUCUACCAUUUGCCCAGCCCUAAAUGAAAGGAACACUCCAAGCACCAUAACCAGUAUUGCUUACUGCGGUGGUUAAGGUGCCAGGAUUGUCCAUUUAGAACAGUAACAAUUUACCUGAGCUUUCUGAGUGCUUGCUCUGCAUUUGAUCUUCUUCUGUAGCAGAAACAAGAAGGCUAUCCAGCUAGGCACGGCCAAUGCAGGAUCGCGCUCACUGGCUGAGAGAGCUCAUUUGACGCUUUCAGCCAAUGAGCAUGGGUCUGCACGGCCUUGCUUUGUUCAGUAGAGCGAACAGGAUUCUCCUGCAGGUGAAGACCAGAUGCAGUGCAGAUAUCCCGGCAAUACAGGUAAGCUGUAAAACUGUUCAAAAAUGAUUUGACAAAUUACAAUGACAGUGCUCUCCUUGCACAAACCACUACAGUGCAAACGUUUUACAGAAGUAUUUUUUUUCUCUUACAGAAUCCGUGGUGAGGACGUUAAAAUAAAGCGGAUGAGAGAAUGCUAAUUGAAUCACGCAAAUCAUGGAGAACUCCAAGUUGUCCCUUUAAGCCCACGAUCUUUACAUAUACAUUAUUGGUGUAAACUAACCACAAGAGUUAACCUAAAGUGUCAUGGUGAAUAAUAAAUUAAUAAAUGAGGAAAUAUCUUUGCACUGU